GAGAGAGAGAGAGAGACAGACAGACAGACAUGGGGUGUGUGUGAUGUGCCAUUAAGCAGUUGUAUGAUGGUCAACAUUUCAGUGCUCCUGUAACACAACCAGGCUGUGGCAGUGGGCAAAUGUAGAUGGCUUCUCCAUUCACUGAGCUGGAGGUGCUGACAAUCAUGUUCUCUCUCCUGGUUUUUGCCCUAUUCACACUUACUGGGAUUCUCAAUGAGGAAUGUGCACACUCGAAUGAGACUAACACACAACCACAAAGUGAGAAGCAUAUCGUUUGACUCCAGUGAGGUCCAUGACAAAGAAUGACUUCUGCCAUUCAAAGCAUGACGUGUCAGUAAAAGCUUUGAGGACUCUGUGUGUGUGUAUGAGUGUUAGCAGUUGCCAGAACAAAGUCUAAAUGGUAGCCUCUGGGUGUGUGUGUGUUUACUUUGUUAUAGGAUCCAAUGUUUUUUUUGCUUCCGGGAUGAGGCCUGAGUCAGGAGGCAAGGAGUGGCCUAGAUAUGGGACACUGUAAAAAAAAAAAAAAAAAAAAAAAAAAUCAAUAAAUAAACGCCUACUUUGUCAAACAAACUGUAACAAGACAGUAUCUCGUGCUUGCUUUCUUUCGUCUUUGAGAAUCUGUUUGUAUGUGGAGAUACACACAAAUCCUUUUAUUCUGAUCUUCACAUUUGAAAAAUAGGGAUCUUCAAAUGCUGGGAUUCUUCUUCUGCUUGGCUUCAGUCUGCAUCCAGCCCGAAGGAGCCCAGCCAGAAAAAGGUGUCUAUGAAGCAGAGAGGUCAAGAACAUCUAACAGAAAGCAAAGAGUCAUCACCAAGCAAGCUGGACAGAAACCAUAAAGUCAGAAUUCUUUAUCUGCUGGGUUUUCAUGUACUGUGAACGUCUCACAAUAACGAAAGAGAGAGAAAACAAAAUGAACUGAAAUCUGACACA